UACGAAAGGUCCAAACGUUAUUCGGAAUCACUGGGCUUAAAGCGUCCGUAGGCGGCUCGGAAAGUAGGGUGUGAAAUCCCACGGCUCAACCGUGGAAUUGCGCUCUAAACUAUCGAGCUAGAGGGAGAUAGAGGUGAGCGGAACUGAUGGUGGAGCGGUGAAAUGCGUUGAUAUCAUCAGGAACACCGGAGGCGAAGGCGGCUCACUGGGUCUUUUCUGACGCUGAGGGACGAAAGCUAGGGGAGCGAACGGG
rnacentral:rRNA from 1 species